AACGUAGGACGCGAGCGUUAUCCGGAUUUACUGGGCGUAAAGCGCGUGCAGGCGGUGGGUUAAGUCGUGCGUGAAAGCUCCCUGGCUCAACCGGGAGAGGUCGUACGAAACUGACCGACUUGAGGGCAGCAGAGGAGUGUGGAAUUCCGGGUGUAGUGGUGAAAUGCGUAGAUAUCCGGAGGAACACCAGUGGCGAAGGCGGCACUCUGGGCUGUACCUGACGCUAAGACGCGAAAGCAUGGGUAGCGAACGGG
rnacentral:rRNA from 1 species